rnacentral:rRNA from 1 species
UCUCAGUACGAGCCGCAUUAAGGUGAAACCGCGAAAGGCUCAUUAAAUCAGUUAUGGUUCCUUAGAUCGUACCCACAUUUACUUGGAUAACUGUGGUAAUUCUAGAGCUAAUACAUGCAAACAGAGCUCCGACCGGAGACGGGAGGAGUGCUUUUAUUAGAUCAAAACCGAUCGGCGGCGCGGGCUCGCCUCGCGCGCGUCCGCGUGCGCCGCUACAACUGGUGACUCUGAAUAACUUUAGGCUGAUCGCACGGUCUCGCACCGGCGACGCGUCUUUCAAAUGUCUGACUUAUCAACUGUCGAUGGUAGGUUCUGCGCCUACCAUGGUCGUAACGGGUAACGGGGAAUCAGGGUUCGAUUCCGGAGAGGGAGCCUGAGAAACGGCUACCACAUCCAAGGAAGGCAGCAGGCGCGCAAAUUACCCACUCCCGGCACGGGGAGGUAGUGACGAAAAAUAACGAUACGGGACUCAUCCGAGGCCCCGUAAUCGGAAUGAGUACACUUUAAAUCCUUUAACGAGGACCAAUUGGAGGGCAAGUCUGGUGCCAGCAGCCGCGGUAACUCCAGCUCCAAUAGCGUA